rnacentral:rRNA from 1 species
UUUGAAAUCUGGCUCUCGGGCCCGAGUUGUAAUUUAGAGGAUGCUUUUGGUGAGGUGCCUUCCGAGUUCCCUGGAACGGGACGCCAUAGAGGGUGAGAGCCCCGUCUGGUUGGACGCCGAACCUCUGUAAAGCUCCUUCGACGAGUCGAGUAGUUUGGGAAUGCUGCUCUAAAUGGGAGGUAUAUGUCUUCUAAAGCUAAAUACCGGCCAGAGACCGAUAGCGCACAAGUAGAGUGAUCGAAAGAUGAAAAGAACUUUGAAAAGAGAGUUAAACAGUACGUGAAAUUGUUGAAAGGGAAGCGCUUGUGACCAGACUUGGGCUUGGUUGAUCAUCCGGGGUUCUCCCCGGUGCACUCUUCCGGCCCAGGCCAGCAUCAGUUCGCCCUGGGGGACAAAGGCAUCGGGAACGUGGCUCUCUCCGGGGAGUGUUAU